rnacentral:lncRNA from 1 species
UGACACAUGCUGGGCAUUGCAUUUAUAUUAUUUCAUUUAAUUGUCACACAGUACGAUAACCCGUUUGUGAGUGAAGAGCACUACGUUCAGAUGGUUACAUAUGUUGGCUGUGAUUGGGGCGAAAUGGGAAAAACUAAGAGUCAAACCCAGUUGAAUAGGACUUUCAACUUGUGAUCUCCACCUUGCCCUUCCACCUAGGUUCCUACAGUAAUGGCUUAAGAUUUGAUCUUUUUCUGAAUUGUUUCCAUUUGCAUGGGAAUCAUCAAUAUCUUCAACCAGUUGAGUGACUAGUGAAGACAUUUCAGGCCACCAGGGGUGAGAUGGUUUUGAAAAAGGAGUUCUUAAGGCCCUAUGGAAUCUCAGAAUUCAGAGGAUUGUAAGUGGAAAAUGUAUAUGGAGAUGGAUGGGGAUGAAAUUGCAAUAACCUACAUAAAAGAUGUGACAUUCAACACUAACCUACCUGAUGCAGAGAUUUUAAAGAUGAUAAAGCCACCAUUUGUGAUGGAGAAGUGGAUUGUAGGAAUAGCAGAAAACCAGACCGUGGAGUGCACUGUCACCUAUGAGAGUGAUGUUAGAACUCCAAAAAGCACUAAACAUGUCCAUUCAAUUCACUGGAGUAGAACAAAACCGCAGGAUGAAGUGAAAGCUGUCCAACUCUUCAUUCAGACAUUACUCUUCAAUUCCGAGGGCAACCCUCGCAGCAGGUCCGACUCAAGUGCCGACUGCCAGUGGCUGGACACGCUGCGGAUGCGGCAGAUCGCCUCCGACGCGCCCCUGCACCGCUCGCAGAGCAACCCCAUCCUGGGCUCGCCUUUCUUCCCGUACUUCAACGACCAGGACUCGUACGCGGCCGCCGUGCGGCGGACCCAGGCGCCCGUCAAGUACCAGCAGAUCACGCCCAUCAACCAGUCGCGGAGCUCCUCGCCCACGCAGUACGGGCUCACCAAGAGCUUCUCCGGCCUGCUGCUCAACUCCAGGGACAGCGGCUUCUCCAGCCUCAACACCGACAGCUCCUCCGAGCGGGGGCGCUACUCCGACCGGAGCCGGAACAAGCUCGACCGCGGGGGCGGGUCGCUGCACGCCUCGCCGCGGGGCCGCUUCCCGGGGCAGAGCCAGCACCCCGCGGCCUCCCGGGAGAGGGGCG